rnacentral:lncRNA from 1 species
AAAAAUCGAAAAAAUCUAAACGUGAAGAGCUCAAGGAUGUAAAGAACGGCUGUGACGAGGAGAAUGCUGCAGUGAAAAAGAGCAAGAUCAUGAGAACAAAACCUGUUCUGAAGAAGAAAGAACAUCAGAGUGCUGAAGUGAAAAAGAGCAAGAUCACGAUAACGAAACCUGUUCUGAAAAAGAAAGAGCAUCAGAAUGCUGAAGUGCAAAAGAGCAAGAUCGCGAGAACUAAACCUGUUCUGAAAAAGAAAGAGCAUCAGAUUGAGGAGGUUAAACUACCUCAGGGCAUCGACUCAAUCACUGUUUCUGGCAUUGACUUGCCCCCUGAAGAUGCUGGAA